UUUUUAAAAAUGUCUGUGAACAUUUAAGUAUACAAAAUCUCAUUACCACAUUCUUGUAUUGAGGAGAUAAUCUCAGAAUGAGUUCAGGGACCCACUGAACAUACUAAAAGACAGGGUUUAGCCAAGUCAAUUAAUGAAAACUCCAUUAGUCAUCUGAUCUCCACUAGUCCACACUUUAACUGAAGGGUCACAAUAUUUCUUAAAAUCUUCCCUAAGGAGCAUCAAUUCAGAACUACCAUCACAUAAACCCUGGAAAGUCUGACCAUUUCCUUUCUUCCACUAUAAAAGUACUUAGGGGUAUCUGGCUGUCUCUUCAUUCAAGGCAUUUUGGGUUAACAAACUGACUCAAGUCUGAAAAUUGAUUAACUGGCUGAGAUUGCCUUUUGCCAGGAUCCAGUGGAAUCUUUCAUUUGUUUAAUAGUUUUUCUGCUUAUACAGAUCAAACAAUUACUCAGAGCUCUCUUAUCUAUAUCAUGCCUGAAAAUGCCAUAAUUGAUAAUCCAGUACACAGGUCCAUAUUCAUGCCACCAUAGAAUUUGUUUUGCCCAUACUCAUCACUACGAUUAGGCCAUUAUGCACAUUGAUUUGUCUAUACUGCCCACUGAGGUAACUGCAAUCGACUUGCCUUUGUUGAUUCAGUGCUUUACCUAGCCUCUAGUACUUCUGGACACAAUUAAACCCAUUGUCUUUAAUUCACACAACUGACCAGCAAUGUCUCCAACUCUAAGUUCUGCCACAAGGAAAACAUUCACAACAAAACUCUUUAAAUGUGUUUGUAUCCCUCUCACCAUUUUGUAUGUCGUAGGACUCAUAAAGGGCAUGUAUCCUGGGCAUUUUAAUUAUGGAGAGUUAUGUUUUACUUAGAGUACCAACUCUAGUUUUAAAAACUACAGGACCCUUGAAACUCCUUCAUCAACACUAAGUCAGAGAAUGUCAGGCACCCUCCAACUCUUUUUUAGUCGGUAAUCUUUUGAUAAAUUGUUCAGCCAAUCAUUAAACAAACUUAAGACAUUUUUUUAAACUGUGCAGGAUUCCAUAUUAAACUUGAAGUCUCCACUCAAUGGGCCUGUGUCAAUAAUCUUAGCAUAAUCCAGCUUCAUGUUCCUUCCACCAUUAUCCCACAGCCUUAAAGUUUGUUCCCACACAUAUUCCCUAGCAAAGUGAGUAAGAUCCUUAGCAUGUUGCAUCUCCUCUUAGACUACACUUUCUACCUCCCCUCUAGGAGUCUACUGUGCUUUAAGUCUGGAUAUACAUCUAGGGGAAACUAUUGGUUAUCCCAGAGGGAUAUUGUGGAUAUUGCCUCUCGUUUCCUUCAGAGUCAGUCACUGCUAGGUAUGGCACUGCAACUCAUUUGCUCUCAGAAACCUAAGGAGAGGCUAUCAUCCUGAGAGAUGACCUGGACUCUCUCUUUGAAAUGAGACAAACCCACACCAUGGAUGGUACCCCAGCGAGACCCCAAAGCAGAGACCCGAAAGGAAUGACUGUGAUCACAUUUUGACAUUUACUUGUUUAUUGCUGUUUAUGAAUAAAUUAGUUGUUAUAACCUAA